rnacentral:rRNA from 1 species
UGCCUAAUACAUGCAAGUCGAACGAGUUCUGAUUAUUGAAAGGUGCUUGCAUCUUGAUUUAAUUUUGAACGAGUGGCGGACGGGUGAGUAACACGUGGGUAACCUGCCCUUAAGUGGGGGAUAACAUUUGGAAACAGAUGCUAAUACCGCAUAAAUCCAAGAACCGCAUGGUUCUUGGCUGAAAGAUGGCGUAAGCUAUCGCUUUUGGAUGGACCCGCGGCGUAUUAGCUAGUUGGUGAGGUAACGGCUCACCAAGGCAAUGAUACGUAGCCGAACUGAGAGGUUGAUCGGCCACAUUGGGACUGAGACACGGCCCAAACUCCUACGGGAGGCAGCAGUAGGGAAUCUUCCACAAUGGACGCAAGUCUGAUGGAGCAACGCCGCGUGAGUGAAGAAGGCUUUCGGGUCGUAAAACUCUGUUGUUGGAGAAGAAUGGUCGGCAGAGUAACUGUUGUCGGCGUGACGGUAUCCAACCAGAAAGCCACGGCUAACUACGUGCCAGCAGCCGCGGUAAUACGUAGGUGGCAAGCGUUAUCCGGAUUUAUUGGGCGUAAAGCGAGCGCAGGCGGUUUUUUAAGUCUGAUGUGAAAGCCCUCGGCUUAACCGAGGAAGUGCAUCGGAAACUGGGAAACUUGAGUGCAGAAGAGGACAGUGGAACUCCAUGUGUAGCGGUGAAAUGCGUAGAUAUAUGGAAGAACACCAGUGGCGAAGGCGGCUGUCUGGUCUGUAACUGACGCUGAGGCUCGAAAGCAUGGGUAGCGAACAGGAUUAGAUACCCUGGUAGUCCAUGCCGUAAACGAUGAAUGCUAGGUGUUGGAGGGUUUCCGCCCUUCAGUGCCGCAGCUAACGCAUUAAGCAUUCCGCCUGGGGAGUACGACCGCAAGGUUGAAACUCAAAGGAAUUGACGGGGGCCCGCACAAGCGGUGGAGCAUGUGGUUUAAUUCGAAGCAACGCGAAGAACCUUACCAGGUCUUGACAUCUUUUGAUCACCUGAGAGAUCAGGUUUCCCCUUCGGGGGCAAAAUGACAGGUGGUGCAUGGUUGUCGUCAGCUCGUGUCGUGAGAUGUUGGGUUAAGUCCCGCAACGAGCGCAACCCUUAUGACUAGUUGCCAGCAUUUAGUUGGGCACUCUAGUAAGACUGCCGGUGACAAACCGGAGGAAGGUGGGGAUGACGUCAAAUCAUCAUGCCCCUUAUGACCUGGGCUACACACGUGCUACAAUGGAUGGUACAACGAGUUGCGAGACCGCGAGGUCAAGCUAAUCUCUUAAAGCCAUUCUCAGUUCGGACUGUAGGCUGCAACUCGCCUACACGAAGUCGGAAUCGCUAGUAAUCGCGGAUCAGCACGCCGCGGUGAAUACGUUCCCGGGCCUUGUACACACCGCCCGUCACACCAUGAGAGUUUGUAACACCCGAAGCCGGUGGCGUAACCCUUUUAGGGAGCGAGCCGUCUAAGGUGGGACAAAUGAUUAGGGUGAAAU